rnacentral:rRNA from 1 species
GUGGGGAAUAUUGCACAAUGGGCGAAAGCCUGAUGCAGCGACGCCGCGUGGGGGAUGACGGCCUUCGGGUUGUAAACCUCUUUUACCACCAACGCAGGCUCCACGUUCUCGUGGGGUUGACGGUAGGUGGGGAAUAAGGACCGGCUAACUACGUGCCAGCAGCCGCGGUAAUACGUAGGGUCCGAGCGUUGUCCGGAAUUAUUGGGCGUAAAGAGCUCGUAGGCGGCAUGUCGCGUCUGCUGUGAAAGACCGGGGCUUAACUCCGGUUCUGCAGUGGAUACGGGCAUGCUAGAGGUAGGUAGGGGAAACUGGAAUUCCUGGUGUAGCGGUGAAAUGCGCAGAUAUCAGGAGGAACACCGGUGGCGAAGGCGGGUUUCUGGGCCUUACCUGACGCUGAGGAGCGAAAGCAUGGGGAGCGAACAGGAUUAGAAACCCCGGUAGUCC